CCUACGGGUGGCAGCAGUGAGGAAUAUUGGUCAAUGGGCGCGAGCCUGAACCAGCCAAGUAGCGUGAAGGAUGACUGCCCUACGGGUUGUAAACUUCUUUUAUAAAGGAAUAAAGUGAGGCUCGUGUGCCUUUUUGUAUGUACUUUAUGAAUAAGGAUCGGCUAACUCCGUGCCAGCAGCCGCGGUCAUACGGAGGAUCCGAGCGUUAUCCGGAUUUAGUGGGUUGAAAGGGAGCGUAGAUGGGCUGUUAAGUCAGUUGUGAAAGUUUGCGGGUCAACCGUAAAAUUGGAAUUGAUACUGGCAGCCUUGAGUACAGUUGAGGUAGGCGGAAUUCGUGGUGUAGCGGUGAAAUGCUUAGAUAACACGAAGAACUACGAUUGCGAAGGCAGCCUACUAAACUGCCACUGACAUUGAUGCUCGAAAGUGUGGGUAUCAAACAGGAUUAGAUACCCCGGUAGUC
rnacentral:rRNA from 1 species